GUCUGUUCAACCAGACGACAAGCUGCUAGUCUCAAACCUGUUGGAAUAAGUGUACGAUCUGGUGAAAGAAUCUGGGAAGAAGCCAAAAAGCAAAUUGCCGAUGGCAAAGAAGUAGAUGUCUCAGGCAAGAAGCCAGGAAGAUCUGGCCGAAAGAGAAAGGAGCUGGAUCUAGAGAGGACCUCAACAAUCCCACUAAAUAAAAGAAGGACAAUUCGAUCUCUGGCA
rnacentral:rRNA from 1 species